GGGUUGUGAGGUUAAGCGACUAAGCGUACACGGUGGAUGCCCUGGCAGUCAGAGGCGAUGAAGGACGUGCUAAUCUGCGAUAAGCGUCGGUAAGGUGAUAUGAACCGUUAUAACCGGCGAUUUCCGAAUGGGGAAACCCAGUGUGUUUCGACACACUAUCAUUAACUGAAUCCAUAGGUUAAUGAGGCGAACCGGGGGAACUGAAACAUCUAAGUACCCCGAGGAAAAGAAAUCAACCGAGAUUCCCCCAGUAGCGGCGAGCGAACGGGGAGCAGCCCAGAGCCUGAAUCAGUGUGUGUGUUAGUGGAAGCGUCUGGAAAGGCGCGCGAUACAGGGUGACAGCCCCGUACACAAAAAUGCACAUGCUGUGAGCUCGAUGAGUAGGGCGGGACACGUGGUAUCCUGUCUGAAUAUGGGGGGACCAUCCUCCAAGGCUAAAUACUCCUGACUGACCGAUAGUGAACCAGUACCGUGAGGGAAAGGCGAAAAGAACCCCGGCGAGGGGAGUGAAAAAGAACCUGAAACCGUGUACGUACAAGCAGUGGGAGCACGCUUCGGCGUGUGACUGCGUACCUUUUGUAUAAUGGGUCAGCGACUUAUAUUCUGUAGCAAGGUUAACCGAAUAGGGGAGCCGAAGGGAAACCGAGUCUUAACUGGGCGUUAAGUUGCAGGGUAUAGACCCGAAACCCGGUGAUCUAGCCAUGGGCAGGUUGAAGGUUGGGUAACACUAACUGGAGGACCGAACCGACUAAUGUUGAAAAAUUAGCGGAUGACUUGUGGCUGGGGGUGAAAGGCCAAUCAAACCGGGAGAUAGCUGGUUCUCCCCGAAAGCUAUUUAGGUAGCGCCUCGUGAAUUCAUCUCCGGGGGUAGAGCACUGUUUCGGCAAGGGGGUCAUCCCGACUUACCAACCCGAUGCAAACUGCGAAUACCGGAGAAUGUUAUCACGGGAGACACACGGCGGGUGCUAACGUCCGUCGUGAAGAGGGAAACAACCCAGACCGCCAGCUAAGGUCCCAAAGUCAUGGUUAAGUGGGAAACGAUGUGGGAAGGCCCAGACAGCCAGGAUGUUGGCUUAGAAGCAGCCAUCAUUUAAAGAAAGCGUAAUAGCUCACUGGUCGAGUCGGCCUGCGCGGAAGAUGUAACGGGGCUAAACCAUGCACCGAAGCUGCGGCAGCGACGCUGAUGCGUUGUUGGGUAGGGGAGCGUUCUGUAAGCCUGCGAAGGUGUGCUGUGAGGCAUGCUGGAGGUAUCAGAAGUGCGAAUGCUGACAUAAGUAACGAUAAAGCGGGUGAAAAGCCCGCUCGCCGGAAGACCAAGGGUUCCUGUCCAACGUUAAUCGGGGCAGGGUGAGUCGACCCCUAAGGCGAGGCCGAAAGGCGUAGUCGAUGGGAAACAGGUUAAUAUUCCUGUACUUGGUGUUACUGCGAAGGGGGGACGGAGAAGGCUAUGUUGGCCGGGCGACGGUUGUCCCGGUUUAAGCGUGUAGGCUGGUUUUCCAGGCAAAUCCGGAAAAUCAAGGCUGAGGCGUGAUGACGAGGCACUACGGUGCUGAAGCAACAAAUGCCCUGCUUCCAGGAAAAGCCUCUAAGCAUCAGGUAACAUCAAAUCGUACCCCAAACCGACACAGGUGGUCAGGUAGAGAAUACCAAGGCGCUUGAGAGAACUCGGGUGAAGGAACUAGGCAAAAUGGUGCCGUAACUUCGGGAGAAGGCACGCUGAUAUGUAGGUGAAGUCCCUCGCGGAUGGAGCUGAAAUCAGUCGAAGAUACCAGCUGGCUGCAACUGUUUAUUAAAAACACAGCACUGUGCAAACACGAAAGUGGACGUAUACGGUGUGACGCCUGCCCGGUGCCGGAAGGUUAAUUGAUGGGGUUAGCGCAAGCGAAGCUCUUGAUCGAAGCCCCGGUAAACGGCGGCCGUAACUAUAACGGUCCUAAGGUAGCGAAAUUCCUUGUCGGGUAAGUUCCGACCUGCACGAAUGGCGUAAUGAUGGCCAGGCUGUCUCCACCCGAGACUCAGUGAAAUUGAACUCGCUGUGAAGAUGCAGUGUACCCGCGGCAAGACGGAAAGACCCCGUGAACCUUUACUAUAGCUUGACACUGAACAUUGAGCCUUGAUGUGUAGGAUAGGUGGGAGGCUUGGAAGUGUGGACGCCAGUCUGCAUGGAGCCGACCUUGAAAUACCACCCUUUAAUGUUUGAUGUUCUAACGUUGACCCGUAAUCCGGGUUGCGGACAGUGUCUGGUGGGUAGUUUGACUGGGGCGGUCUCCUCCUAAAGAGUAACGGAGGAGCACGAAGGUUGGCUAAUCCUGGUCGGACAUCAGGAGGUUAGUGCAAUGGCAUAAGCCAGCUUGACUGCGAGCGUGACGGCGCGAGCAGGUGCGAAAGCAGGUCAUAGUGAUCCGGUGGUUCUGAAUGGAAGGGCCAUCGCUCAACGGAUAAAAGGUACUCCGGGGAUAACAGGCUGAUACCGCCCAAGAGUUCAUAUCGACGGCGGUGUUUGGCACCUCGAUGUCGGCUCAUCACAUCCUGGGGCUGAAGUAGGUCCCAAGGGUAUGGCUGUUCGCCAUUUAAAGUGGUACGCGAGCUGGGUUUAGAACGUCGUGAGACAGUUCGGUCCCUAUCUGCCGUGGGCGCUGGAGAACUGAGGGGGGCUGCUCCUAGUACGAGAGGACCGGAGUGGACGCAUCACUGGUGUUCGGGUUGUCAUGCCAAUGGCACUGCCCGGUAGCUAAAUGCGGAAGAGAUAAGUGCUGAAAGCAUCUAAGCACGAAACUUGCCCCGAGAUGAGUUCUCCCUGACCCUUUAAGGGUCCUGAAGGAACGUUGAAGACGACGACGUUGAUAGGCCGGGUGUGUAAGCGCAGCGAUGCGUUGAGCUAACCGGUACUAAUGAACCGUGAGGCUUAACCUUACAACGCCGAAGCUGUU
rnacentral:rRNA from 1 species